UAGGGAUGCUUCUGAGUAUGGAUGGGCGU
rnacentral:piRNA from 1 species